UUUACAGUUAUAAAUUUAAAAAUCUAUUACAUAAUGGUGGUAACUGUAAUGGUAAGCCUAAAAACUGUAUGUUACGACCAUUAUUUAAAGCCAUCUCUCUACCAACAAGUAAAUAACAUAUUUUCUUUGAGACAAAAAUACACCUUUCUUACACCUUGCCACAUCAAUACCCCAUGAAAUACUUCAAAAACGCAAAGUCUUUUGUCUGAAACUGGGUGUGAAAAAAAGACUUUAGAGAUGAAAUGCCUGCCAAUAAUAACAAUAUCAUCAACA
rnacentral:misc_RNA from 1 species